GGCAUUGACAAGUGUGGAAAACAGCCCUCACCGCGAGCAGUGUGUCAUGGCUGCCUCAGACAGGCCCUCGGCUGGCCGGUUCUGCCAUGCACCUCUGGCGCACACACCCCUUCACACUCCUCUCCAAGCCCCCAAGACUGCUCUCUUCUAAGAACUCCAGGAGUAAUGAUGCCAUGGACAAUCUUAUACUUUUGCCUCCAGUUGUGAUGUAAUUUGACAGGCUGAGCUCCUCCUGUUACCAUCAUCCUUACUGUCAGCUAAAAGCUUAUUGAGAAAAAAAGAAAAAGAAAAAAAGAAGAAGAAGAAAAAGCCGAACUGUAACUUACCAACCAACCCAAGCCAAAUAAUACUUUGGAAAGCAAUGUGGUUACAAAAGCAAUAAAUGAAUGGCUUAGCCCUUCUUGUGUCUUAGAAAUUGGACCCACCGUUGCCAAGAAGGAGUAAAGAAAUGAGUCUGUAUUUCAUUUAACUGCACUGAAUUCCUUGAGGAUUUCGGCGGACACAACAUCUUUGUUUGUAUGUGGUGCUGAGGAUCGAACCCGGGCUGCACGCAUGCCAGGCGAGCGCGCUACCGCUUGAGCCACAUCCCGAGCCCUGUAAUAUGUUUUUAAAAGUAUGUGAAACUACCCUGCAUUUCAUUGAUCUUACUUUUUUCCCUAGGCAGUUCUGAAGGUCCACCAUCUGCCCCACAGUGCCAUGUGUACCUCUGACUGUUCCCUCUAAAUGCUGCUGGGCAGUCCAAAGUGUAUGUCCUCAACAUUCAUCUAUCUGCUCCCUAAGUGAACUCAUAGGUUGCUCCCAAGUCUACACAACUACAAGCAAAAUUGCAAUGAAUAUCCCCAUGCAUAUCCCCUUAAGUAUCCAUGCAAGUUUUUCUAUUCAAUACAACCCUAGGGGUAGAAUUGCAAGGUCAUAGCAUAUGUAUAUUCUCAACUUCACUAAGUAGUGCUAGAUGCUUUCCAGAAAGGAUGCCAUUGUUCACCAGCAGUGGUGGGGUUCCUAUAUCCCCACAUCUCCACCAACACUUGGCCUUUUCCAUCUUUCUAGCUUUUGGCAGCCUAAUAAGUGUAACAAGUCAACGUUUUUUAAAAUUUGUAUGUGUCAGAUUACUGAUGACUUGGGCCAUCACUUCUCUGCAUAUGUGCAGUAGUAAUUUUGAGUUUCCUCUUCUGUGAAUUUCCCGUUUGUAUCCUUGCCUGUUUUUCUAUUGGGCUUGCUGCCUUUAUCUUGUUGAAUGGUAACAGUUACUAGUGUUCUUUGCUUAGCUCUUGUGGGUUUUAGACAUUUCUAACAUUUUCCCCACACUGCUAUCUGUGUGACAAAUCUGUCUAUAAUGUCUUCCCUAAAUGAAAAGUCUUAUUACUUAGGGACUCAAAGCCAUCAGUGCAUUGCCUUAUGAUUUGUGCUUUUUGAAAUUUUGUUUGAAAAGGUUUUCCCUGCCCCUAGGUCACCAAGAUAUUCUUCUACUUCCUGCUCCUCUCCCUGCAGGGUCAGACCUUUGCCCUUUGAGUCUUUAAUCCAGGAGGAGUCUACCUGUGGAUGAGCAAGCAGUUUAGUCUCUGCCUUAUUGUCCCCAUGAGCACUGCUGAUGUUGACUUGUGAUACUGUCCCUCCUUACAACAUUUAAGUUCCACCCAACAUAGAGAUCUGUGUCUGAGUCCUCUGACCUAUUUUUUUUGGGGGGUGCAUUUACCUGGGGUGUCUUGUUUUGUUUUUUUCCACCAAUGUACCCCUGUUGUUGGUGCUAUUCCUUGGACGGGUGUUUUAAUAUCUAGUAGGGAAAGCUCCCCUUCUAUUGAUGUUUCUAUUUAAGCUCAACUCAGACAUUUAUAAACAUUUAUUUCUCCAGAUAAAUUUUAAAGAAGUCGAUUAUAUUCCUCAAAAGAAAAAAGAAAUCUGAGUAGUAUUUUUAUGGCAUUGUAUUAAAUUUAUAGAUUAAAUGGGAGAAUUUAUGCCUUUCUAGUACAUUAUUAUUCAAAAGCAUAGGAUUUUUCUACACUUAUUCAUAUCCUUUUUUAAUGUUCUUUAUCAUUAUUUUAAAGGGUUCUGGGUUUGUGUUUGGGGUUUUUGUUUUUGGUACUAGGAAUUGAACCCAGGGGCACUUUACCACUGAGCCACAUCCCCAGCCAUUUUGAUUUUUUACUUUGAGAUGGAGUCUUGCUAAAUUGCUAAGGAGCUUUGAACUCACAAUCCUCCUGCUUCAGCCUCCCAAGUCACUGGGAUUACAGGUUUGUGCCACCAUGCCUUUUACAUUGUCUUAUCAACAUAAUUAAUUUCUAUAUAUUUAAAAUAGACUUCUUGGUACUGGAAAAGAUGAGUUGUUAUUUGUUACGUUUUUCUGAUUGGCUGUUGCUAGUGCAAUAUUGCAAAUUGUGUACCCAACAAUUUUACUUAGUUUUCUUACUGGUUCUAUUACUUGUCUUUGGAAUCUGUUGGGUUUUCUGGAUUAAUGAUCAUAUCAUUUGCAAAUGAAGACAGUUUUCUCUCUAACUUUCUGUAUUAGUCAGCUUUCACGAAGUUAAGCUUUGAUAACAAAUGACUGCCACAACUCUGACUUACAACAACAAAAAUAAAUGUC